GAUGAAGAACGUAGCGAAAUGCGAUAACUAAUGUGAAUUGCAGAAUUCAGUGAAUCAUCGAGUCUUUGAACGCACAUUGCGCCCCCUGGUAUUCCGGGGGGCAUGCCUGUCCGAGCGUCAUUGCUGCCCUCAAGCACGGCUUGUGUGUUGGGCUCCGUCCCCCCGGGGACGGGCCCGAAAGGCAGCGGCGGCACCGAGUCCGGUCCUCGAGCGUAUGGCGCUUUGUCACCCGCUCUGUAGGCCCGGCCGGCGCCAGCCGACAACCCAUCAUCCUUUUCAGGUUGACCUCGGAUCAGGUAGGGAUACCCGCUGAACUUAAGCAUAUCAAUAAGCGGAGGA
rnacentral:misc_RNA from 1 species